UGAAAUAACCCUAUGCAUCCUACCUUUCCAACUUCCCACCUACAACAGUGGCUACACCCGUCCCCAUUAUCCCAGGACGUCUUUUUUGUUUUUAUUGGUAUAAUACUCUUGUUUACUUCCACUUAGACACUUAAUACCAAUGCAGGUUAUCGAUAGGAGUUCGCGAUCCGAAACUAAUAUUCUAUCCGUACGAAUAAUCUAUAAUUUAUUCACAGUUUACGUUAUUGGUUUACUAAC